AUACGUAGAGUGCAAGCGUUAAUCGGAAUUACUGAGCGUAAAGCGUGCGCAGGCGGUUUUGUAAGACAGAGGUGAAAUCCCCGAGCUCAACCUGUGAACUGCCUUUGUGACUAGAACACUAGAGUACAGCAGAGGGGGAUGGAAAUCCGCAUGGAGCAGUCAAACGCGUAGAUAUGCGGAGGAACACCGAUGGAGAAGGCGAUCUCUUGGGCCUGUACUGACGCUCCUUUUCUGAAGCGUGGGGUGCAUACAGUAUCGGUUACCCUGGUAGUUGGCGUGCUAAACGAUUGCAACUGGUUGUUGGUUUUUCAUUGACUCAGUAUAGUAGCUAACGCUUGAGGUUGACCGCCUUGGGAGUACGGCCGCAAGGUUGAAACUCUAUGGUAUUGACGGUG
rnacentral:rRNA from 1 species